rnacentral:rRNA from 1 species
AUGGCACGCCAAAGGGUCCUUAUAGGCACCCUAACCAACAAGCAAGAAUUCCACACCCCUCAGCAACAACAAGGCCAGGUCACAAAACAUUUCAUGACAGUGGAGGAAUUACCUGAAGCAGAGGUCAGAAGAGAAAAGAACAUACCUUUUACACCUGAAGUUCGAAGAAAUCUCUUUUGUGUUAAACCUGCAAAGUUAAACAUUGCUGAAUUCGAUGGAGAAGCUAUCCAAUGGUGGAGAGGUACAAGGUUCAUUGCCAAUCAUACUCCUUGGCACAAGUUCUGCUCUGCAAUCACACAAAGAUUUGCAGUAACGUCUGUAUGUGAAAAUGUGAAAGCUUUUCACAAGUUAACACAACAACUUCAGUUGCUCAGUAUAUAA